GACGAACGCUGGCGGCGUGCUUAACACAUGCAAGUCGAACGAGACGAUUGAAAGCUUGCUUUCGAAAGUCGAGUGGCAAACGGGUGAGUAACGCGUAGACAACCUGCCUUUGAGAUGGGGACAACAGUUCGAAAGGACUGCUAAUACCGAAUGUUGUAUAUUUUCCACAUGGAAGAUAUACUAAAGAUGGCCUCUAUUUAUAAGCUAUCGCUCAAAGAUGGGUCUGCGUCUGAUUAGCUGGUUGGUGGGGUAACGGCCUACCAAGGCGACGAUCAGUAGCCGGUCUGAGAGGAUGAACGGCCACAUUGGGACUGAGACACGGCCCAGACUCCUACGGGAGGCAGCAGUGGGGAAUCUUCCACAAUGGACGAAAGUCUGAUGGAGCAACGCCGCGUGAGUGAAGAAGGGUUUCGGCUCGUAAAGCUCUGUUGUCGGGGACGAAUGUGCAGUAUUUGAAUAAAGUAGUGUAAUGACGGUACCUGACGAGGAAGCCACGGCUAACUACGUGCCAGCCGCCGCGGUAA
rnacentral:rRNA from 1 species